rnacentral:piRNA from 1 species
UGGGGAAACGAUCUGGCUUCAACAACAGU